rnacentral:rRNA from 1 species
ACACUCCUGCGGGAGGCAGCAGUGGGGAAUUUUGGACAAUGGGCGAAAGCCUGAUCCAGCCAUGCCGCGUGCAGGAUGAAGGCCUUCGGGUUGUAAACUGCUUUUGUACGGAACGAAACGGCCUUUUCUAAUAAAGAGGGCUAAUGACGGUACCGUAAGAAUAAGCACCGGCUAACUACGUGCCAGCAGCCGCGGUAAUACGUAGGGUGCAAGCGUUAAUCGGAAUUACUGGGCGUAAAGCGUGCGCAGGCGGUUAUGUAAGACAGUUGUGAAAUCCCCGGGCUCAACCUGGGAACUGCAUCUGUGACUGCAUAGCUAGAGUACGGUAGAGGGGGAUGGAAUUCCGCGUGUAGCAGUGAAAUGCGUAGAUAUGCGGAGGAACACCGAUGGCGAAGGCAAUCCCCUGGACCUGUACUGACGCUCAUGCACGAAAGCGUGGGGAGCAAACAGGAUUAGAUACCCUAGUAGUCCCAUG